CCUAAAGGGACUUCCUUAUCCACCGACUGCGGCUGGACUGAAGCCUAAAGUGAAAGGCAAACCACACGUACCAUGGAAGAUGAGGGCGUCUCUGGCCCUGUAGAAACGGGAAAGCACAGGUGACAGAAAUGUAAGGGCACAUCGUGCAAGUGAACAGAUUGAUACAAGGUCGUUGCCCACGAGGAUCCCAGGGACAAACUUCUUUAGUGACUGGCUUCGUGGAAGGCAGCUGGGUCCUCCGGUUGUGGUACCUGUGGGAGUUUCUGGAAGAGCGAGCGAGAGGGCCGGGGAAGAGAGACAGACGCCGUCUUCGCAUUAUGCCAGCCCUUGGUUCUCCUGGGGAGACAGCUGACAUUGAACAUGGUGAGUAAGAGGUGAGAGUCCCAGGGGGAGGACAGGGCUAGGGGAAGAGGCUCGGGCCCUGGGGUGUCCCAGGGCUGCGGAAACAAAGCUCCCCAUACUGGCCAUUCUUAGCAGAGUGGACUGGCACAUCUGGAGCCAAGUGAACAGGGCUGGCAUCUCUGGGGGCCUCAGGGAGGGACCCUGCCAUCCGUGGCCUGUGGCCCCCCCAUCUGCCUCCAUGCCCCCCCCCCCCGUGUGUACUCUCUUCUUUAUGUAAGGACACUGGCCAUCCAGGACGAUUUCAUCUCAAGAGGCCUCUCUGAUGACAUCUGCAGAGCACUUCAGAUAAGGCGCAUAGAUGUGAUCUAAGGGGCCAUGGUUACCCCAGGGGUUAGGGCGGACCUCAGAGAACGAACGCAGGGAGGGGCUAGGGAGCUGAGGGAGCCACAUGCUCUCUGGGGUGGACACGUCCCAGGUGAAGGGACGGCU